ACAAAAAAGUCCCAAUCAGAAAGAGGAAGCCCCUAAAUCAGAAGACUCCGAGAAACCUUCGUUCUUGAGUUCGAACUCGACUACAGUGUUCUUGCAGGGUGAAAACCUCGCCCACCACAUGAAGGAGGCGCUUGAACAAACAAAGAUGAAGACUCCGAGACUGAGCUUGGGGCUGCAGUUUAGGCCGAGCACUUAAAGCUUGCUAAUGGGUACUAUAAGAUCGAGGCCAUACGUAGAUAGCGAGAUUGAAAGGCCCAUCAUUUCUCCUUUCUAUCUUUUCUCAGAAAAUCAUAACCGUGCUCUUUGAUCUCUAGGAGAGGCACAAUAAAAAGUAUUCUGGUUAUUUUUUGCAGAUAGAUUAAGAUGAAAAUGAAGUGCAAUGUGGAUAUAUUUUUCAUUGUUUUGAACUUGAUUAUGGAUUUUAGAGAGAACCACAAAGACAACUAGAGUGUGAAGCCCAUAAGGAAAAAGACUACUGGUACUGGACACAUGAGUUACCUCCUCCAUGUUUCCUGCAGAUUCAAGACCAACUUAAGAGAAUGUAUAAUCUUAUUAAUUUAAGUUUUUAAUUUUUGUAGUUCAUUUUUUGUUUGGAUGCUUGAGUUUGCCUUUUAUGAUGAAUAGACAAGAGGCCAAUAUUGGUUUGAAUGCUCAAAUUAAUUUUCUCA